UACAUAUAUGUAUGUGUAUGUGUAAAUAAAGAAGCAGACAAAACAGAUCAACAAAGUGCAUUGCUCGCAAAGUUACUCAAAACAAUAUCAAAAGCAGUUCAAAGCAAUAAAAAAUAAUCAAAAGACGAAUGCAAAAGGCUGAAUGCAUAAAAAUGUGGCAGGCAACAUUUAAUAAAUUUCAAUUAAACGUGUUUUAAAUGCACAAGCGAUUUCCAGCAUCUACACAAAAAAAGAACAACAGCAACAAAUGAAUUCAUAAUUAAUUGGGAAUCAGUGAAUAAAUACGAAAAUAUU